AUGUUAAAACAUGAGCCAGUUGCCUGUGACUUUAUUCCUUUCGUGCAUUCGUGAGUUUACUAUCAAGGAAAUACAGGUGGGUGUCCUGGAGGAAACAUUGGUGAUCUGAUGGUGGGUUGGAGGAGAGCAGAAUGCAGAGGACGCCAUGAGGAUUUCCAGCUCAUGUGACUUGCUGCAGGAUGGUGAAUUGAAAUUAGAACUCUUAGAGAAAGUGGUUUCUGAAAAACAACCUGAAGAUGUACACUUUUUGUGUAUUGAGUUUCAAAUGCUGGUCACCAGGUAUAAUUGGCUAAGUAGUGACCCCAGAGAUAACGUGCAGGCCGGCAUCCUUGGAACCUGGGAAUGUGAGUUUGUUUGGAAAGAUGGGAUUAAGUUUAGGAUCUUGAGAUGAGGUCAUCCUGGGUCCUUUUAUAAGCAGUGUCCUUAUAAAAGAGAGGCAGGGAUUUAGACACCCAGAGAAGCGGAGGGAAUAUGAGGACAAAGGCCAUGUGCUGAGAAAAACCAGUGCGAGAACGCUGGCUGCUGCAGGGGUGAGAAGAGGAGUCGUCAAGCGUCUUGACUCUGUCUGGAUUUGUAACUAAACAAUACCAGCAGGUGAGAGUGGUCACACGGAAUGAAUCACAAACGAUCUUCAAAGGACAAACGUGGUGAAUCCUCGAACUGGCAAAGGAAGAAGUAAACUCUGCCCCCGCAAGCUCGCGCGACGCGACACCGCGGCCUCUCCUUGGCCCACUCACCACUUGGACGCUCUUCUUCAGGCUGGGAACAUGCGCUUCCUCACAGCUGGAGCCAUUCCUUCCUCUUCUUCAAAGGAUUUUCUGAAAUUCCAACCCCACUCUGAAAUUGUUUAAUAAACUAUCACAGUUUCACCUUCUCACCCUUCCACAUGAGUAGCCUCUCUCCAGUAAGACUUGGCCCUAAAGGUGGGUGCUUUGACCUGAGUGUCUACGCCAGGGCAGCGCCGGGGGCAGACAGAACCACCUGCCCUGAGCUCCCGGCUCACUGGUCUCCAUGCCUCGUUGGGGGCGAGACUGCGGACUUUAAUCUUCUAUCUUUGAAUUUUCCCUGGAUCCAAGCUGGGCUGCACUGCAAUGCUCCUUGCCC
rnacentral:lncRNA from 10 species